AUUUCCUUCACUUCUCUGGUCUUAUGUGUCACUGCUUUUUGAUCUAGAUAUUCAGCAACCCCAAAUUUCUCAGCAAUGGCUCUUCUUGUAGAUAAUGCGAUUUUAGCUAAUAAUUUGUUCUGUGUUCUGAUAAGUUAUUCCAGUGGUUUUGUUAGCAACCAAACCCAGAAGUCUACUGGCAUUGUAUGUAAGUGAAGCUAAAC